GAGUUUGUUUAGGAUAAACGAGAACUGCUAAUUACUCGUCUCCAUGGUUCAAUUCCAUGGCCUACUCG
rnacentral:tRNA from 1 species